UACGGGGGGGGCAAGCGUUGUUCGGAAUUACUGGGCGUAAAGGGCUCGUAGGCGGCCAACUAAGUCAUACGUGAAAUCCCUCGGCUUAACCGGGGAACUGCGUCUGAUACUGGAUGGCUUGAGUUCGGGAGAGGGAUGCGGAAUUCCAGGUGUAGCGGUGAAAUGCGUAGAUAUCUGGAGGAACACCAAAGGCGAAGGCAGUGUCCUGGGGAGCAUCUGACGCUCAGGUGCGAAAGCUAGGGGAGCGAACGGG
rnacentral:rRNA from 1 species